rnacentral:rRNA from 1 species
UACGGGGGGGGUAAGCGUUGUUCGGAAUUACUGGGCGUAAAGGGCUCGUAGGCGGCCAACUAAGUCAGACGUGAAAUCCCUCAGCUUAACUGGGGAACUGCGUCUGAUACUGGAUGGCUGGGAUCCGGAAGAGGGAUGCGGAAUUCCAGGUGUAGCGGUGAAAUGCGUAGAUAUCUGGAGGAACACCGGUGGCGAAGGCGGCAUCCUGGGCCGGUAUUGACGCUGAGGAGCGAAAGCCAGGGGAGCAAACGGG